GAUUUCCAUUUUGCCCCAAAGUUUACAAUUCAUACAAUUCAGUCCUUGCUCAAUUAACCCCUCAAUUAAGAUAAUUUUCUCAAUUAAUACUUUUCCUAGACAUUAUAAGUUAUUUCAUAACUAUUGAAAUUCAAAAUUUCUACAUAAAACUCUAACUUCAAACUCUUUUACAAUUAGGUCCCAAACAUUCACUUUCUAUUCAAUUCUUUCAAUAAAAUCAGCAUAUAAACAAUUUAAAGCUCUAAUUCCAUGCCAAAUCAUCAUAUACUUCCAGCACAUAUUCAUAGCAACUUUCAAAUUCUUUCAUAGAAUCAAAAACUAAUGAAUUUAACAAGUGGACCUAGUUGUAAAAGUCACAAAAACACAAAAACUUCAAGAAAUAAUCAAGAAUU
rnacentral:lncRNA from 1 species